rnacentral:rRNA from 1 species
AGGAGGCACGAAGGCUGGCUAAUCCUCGGGUCGGACAUCAGGAGGUUAGUGCAAUGGCAUAAGCCAGCUUGACUGCGAGCGUGACGGCGCGAGCAGGUGCGAAAGCAGGUCAUAGUGAUCCGGUGGUUCUGAAAUGGAAGGGCCAUCGCUCAACGGAUAAAAGGUACUCCGGGGAUAACAGGCUGAUACCGCCCAAGAGUUCAUAUCGACGGCGGUGUUUGGCACCUCGAUGUCGGCUCAUCACAUCCUGGGGCUGAAGUAGGUCCCAAGGGUAUGGCUGUUCGCCAUUUAAAGUGGUACGCGAGCUGGGUUUAGAACGUCGUGAGACAGUUCGGUCCCUAUCUGCCGUGGGCGCUGGAGAACUGAGGGGGGCUGCUCCUAGUACGAGAGGACCGGAGUGGACGCAUCACUGGUGUUCGGGUUGUCAUGCCAAUGGCACUGCCCGGUAGCUAAAUGCGGAAGAGAUAAGUGCUGAAAGCAUCUAAGCACGAAACUUGCCCCGAGAUGAGUUCUCCCUGACCCUUUAAGGGUCCUGAAGGAACGUUGAAGACGACGACGUUGAUAGGCCGGGUGUGUAAGCGCAGCGAUGCGUUGAGCUAACCGGUACUAAUGAACCGUGAGGCUUAACCUU